GACAGAGGGUGCAAACGUUGUUCGGAAUUACUGGGCGUAAAGCGCGUGUAGGCUGCUCCGCAAGUCGGAUGUGAAAGCCCUGGGCUCAACCUAGGAAGUGCAUUCGAAACUUCGGAGCUGGAGUCCUGGAGAGGAUAGUGGAAUUCCCAGUGUAGUGGUGAAAUACGUAGAGAUUGGGAAGAACACCAGUGGCGAAGGCGGCUAUCUGGACGGUUUCUGACGCUAAGACGCGAAAGCGUGGGGAGCAAACAGG
rnacentral:rRNA from 1 species